rnacentral:lncRNA from 1 species
AAGGUGUUAUCGAAAACCUUGAUGGAACAUGUCUGAUUCCAAUCCAGUAUAGUUCUUCACCCCUAAGCUUCCUUCCAUCGGAGAGGUAAUGAUAUUGAAAUAGAUUUCUCUGUUAAAUCUGAAACGCAGAUUCGAUUUCCAAAUCUAUUUGCCGAUGUUCUAGCUUGAUUAUCAUUGAUUAUCAAUACUAUUAUCACUUGAAAAAUUUCCCAA